UACGGGGGGGGCAAGCGUUGUUCGGAAUUACUGGGCGUAAAGGGCUCGUAGGCGGCCAACUAAGUCGGAUGUGAAAUCCCCAGGCUCAACUUGGGAACUGCAUCCGAUACUGGAUGGCUUGAAUUCGGGAGAGGGGUGCAGAAUUCCAGGUGUAGCGGUGAAAUGCGUAGAUAUCUGGAGGAAUACCGGUGGCGAAGGCGGCAUCCUGGACCGACAUUGACGCUGAGGAGCGAAAGCUAGGGGAGCAAACGGG
rnacentral:rRNA from 1 species